CCAGCUUGCUGGGUGGAUUAGUGGCGAACGGGUGAGUAACACGUGAGUAACCUGCCCCUGACUCUGGGAUAAGCGUUGGAAACGACGUCUAAUACUGGAUAUGAUCACUGGCCGCAUGGUCUGGUGGUGGAAAGAUUUUUUGGUUGGGGAUGGACUCGCGGCCUAUCACCUUGUUGGUGAGGUAAUGGCUCACCAAGGCGACGACGGGUAGCCGGCCUGAGAGGGUGACCGGCCACACUGGGACUGAGACACGGCCCAGACUCCUACGGGAGGCAGCAGUGGGGAAUAUUGCACAAUGGGCGAAAGCCUGAUGCAGCAACGCCGCGUGAGGGAUGACGGCCUUCGGGUUGUAAACCUCUUUUAGUAGGGAAGAAGCGAAAGUGACGGUACCUGCAGAAAAAGCACCGGCUAACUACGUGCCAGCAGCCGCGGUAAUACGUAGGGUGCAAGCGUUGUCCGGAAUUAUUGGGCGUAAAGAGCUCGUAGGCGGUUUGUCGCGUCUGCUGUGAAAUCCCGAGGCUCAACCUCGGGCUUGCAGUGGGUACGGGCAGACUAGAGUGCGGUAGGGGAGAUUGGAAUUCCUGGUGUAGCGGUGGAAUGCGCAGAUAUCAGGAGGAACACCGAUGGCGAAGGCAGAUCUCUGGGCCGUAACUGACGCUGAGGAGCGAAAGCAUGGGGAGCGAACAGGAUUAGAUACCCUGGUAGUCCAUGCCGUAAACGUUGGGCGCUAGAUGUAGGGACCUUUCCACGGUUUCUGUGUCGUAGCUAACGCAUUAAGCGCCCCGCCUGGGGAGUACGGCCGCAAGGCUAAAACUCAAAGGAAUUGACGGGGGCCCGCACAAGCGGCGGAGCAUGCGGAUUAAUUCGAUGCAACGCGAAGAACCUUACCAAGGCUUGACAUACACCGGAAACGGCCAGAGAUGGUCGCCCCCUUGUGGUCGGUGUACAGGUGGUGCAUGGUUGUCGUCAGCUCGUGUCGUGAGAUGUUGGGUUAAGUCCCGCAACGAGCGCAA
rnacentral:rRNA from 1 species